GCUGCGGGAAAUUGCUGGAGAAGGGGGAGCCAAGCUGGAGUAAGGCUGGCGGUCUCCCGCAUUGACUUCAUAACCAAGUUCUGGGUCCCUGCCACUGGAGUGCCUGAUGAGACAAAACGGCUCCUCGUCCUGCAUCCCCGCUGCUACUUCCAGAAUUCAGGCCUCGUGGCCUGGAGCCUGCACUGUUCCAUGAGCCCCCUGACCAACCUGGAGGCCUCUGUCUUUCUUCCCUCGGUGAGAUGCGCCUACUUCUCCCUGGAGAAGCUCGAGGAAGCAGAAAUGCUGGAGAUGAGCUGCUCCUCACUCUCACUCCUGGGUGUGCUGGGCAGUGGGGUGCAAUGCGCACGUAGGUGCACACUCUCCCUGGGCGGCAGCGAGCAGCAGAGGUCUGAUCUGUGGUCGGAUGAGGAGAGGAAGUGCAAGUAAAGCAGCUGCAGCGACCCAGCACACCCUGCCUGCAUGGCGCUGUGCUGCACCUUCACUCUGGUCACGGGUCUGGCAGUCGGCUCACCAAUUCCUCCCGCUUCCCUGGGACUCGCCGGCUUUUAGCACUGCAAUUCACUCAGCAAACUGGGACUGUUGGUCACCCUACCUGGCAGCCAGUGAUAAGGUGAGGGCCACUCCUGGGAGGGAGGACACCUGUGGGGAAAAUUCUUGUGUUAUUUAUUUCUCCUUCAGGAUAGGGUGCCUGCAGCGCUUCAUGGGAGGGGGUGGGCUGAUGCUGCGGACUCAGAAGUUUCAAGGGCAUCUGGGGAGACCAGAUAUUCAGAGACCUUCUCCUAGAUGUGCCUGUUCCAUGUAUCAGGGACGCAGGUUUUCCCAACAGGGCUGGUGUCGUUGGCAUGACAGACCUGCCUUGGCUGAGCGUUCACCCGUCUUUGGAGUUCAGCCACCUUAGCAAGUCCUGGGUUUGUUCUUCAGACUUUGCUGCUCGCCCAUUGCCUGGAUCGGGGGCUACUUUGUAAACCACCAGGAAGACUCCAGUGUUUCUGCUUAAUUUUUAGAUGUUUGUUAAUUGCUCUUGGUCUCUCAUUAAUCCCCUGUGGGUCAUCCAGGAAACAUACUCACCACUGUCUGUUCUCUGAGUUUUCAUUUCCAGGCAUCCGCCCUGCCUGGAUCUCCUCACCUGCCAGGAACUUCCUCUCCACAAGCCGGCCAUCCCAGCAAAAGUUCUAACACCAAAGACGACUGCCAGGGGCAUGAAGGGGAUGUGCUUCCAGGGCAUUUGCUGGCAGGGCGUCUGGUGAUUUCUUGGUAUUGGUGUGAGCAUAGCCUGGCAGGAGAGGGCAGAUCUCCGUGCAAAGUAUGUCAGAAAGCAGAUGGAAGCCAGGCCCCCUCCUGAAAGAGGCUCCUUGAAGAUAAUUCUAACAUCUUUGUCAUCAGUGUUGACAUCUCUUGAUUGUAUCCUGUCAUUCCAUUUGAGAUCUUCCUGGUUCUGGCUGGCAUCCUCUGACAUCACUCCAGCAGAAGAAAGGGAAGGAACACGCUGCAUUACUGCGUGGUCACAAGGUCCCCGUCUGAUCUGCCUUCACUCCACCUUUCAGAGUCUUAUGUUUGUUUUGUGUAUAUUAUCAAGGGGUUUUAGGUCACUUAGUCGGAAGAAUAGGGAAAAGUAUGUCUACUCCAGCUUUAUGGAAGUGGAAUUCUCCUGAGAACCUUUUUUUGAUACAAAAUAUAUACUUGUGCAUAUUUUGUAUCAAAAUAUAUAAUGUACAUGUCCCUUUUGUACAUGUACAUAAAUUGUAUAUAAGUAUUCAGGGUUAUAAAAAUAACCAAAGACACCAAAAACUGCCACAGGUGGAUUUGAGAAGACGUUGAAAUGCCUCGCUGCUAAGACAUGCUCAUUCUUGACAGGCUGGGAACCCUGAAAGCUGUAGUGUCACCACUGCCCUGUCCUGUACCUACCUAUCUUUUCACUCAUUUCCUCCAAGCUCAGGUUUUCAGUUUGGGGUAUGUGCCACCUAACAGUGAGCUGUGGAACUGCAGCACAAUCAUCAAAUUCAAAAAAGACAAGGACAUGUUGCUCAGUUUUUAAGAUACGCCAUAGAUGGAGUAAACCAAAACCUUUGAUUCCAGAUCCUUAACCCUGAUUAAAAACAACACAACCCUUCAUGUUGAUUUAAAACAUCCCUUGCAAAAGAUGGUUUGAAUAUUCCAAGUUGGAAAUACCCAGUCUUUUAAAGUUACAGCACCCUUUUUGAUACAAAAAAUGUGCAUGACAGAAAUUGUACAGUGAGUAGUGUUAUAAAAAUAACCAAACACACC
rnacentral:antisense_RNA from 1 species